rnacentral:rRNA from 1 species
UACGGAAGGUCCGGGCGUUAUCCGGAUUUAUUGGGUUUAAAGGGAGCGUAGGCCGGAGAUUAAGUGUGUUGUGAAAUGUAGACGCUCAACGUCUGACUUGCAGCGCAUACUGGUUUCCUUGAGUACGCACAACGUUGGCGGAAUUCGUCGUGUAGCGGUGAAAUGCUUAGAUAUGACGAAGAACUCCGAUUGCGAAGGCAGCUGACGGGAGCGCAACUGACGCUUAAGCUCGAAGGUGCGGGUAUCAAACAGG